rnacentral:rRNA from 1 species
CCUACGGGUGGCGGCAGUGGGGAAUAUUGGGCAAUGGAGGCAACUCUGACCCAGCAACGCCGCGUGAGCGAUGAAGGUCUUCGGAUUGUAAAGCUCUUUAAGCGGGGACGAAGAACGUGACUGUACCCGCAGCAUAAGCCUCGGCUAACCACGUGCCAGCAGCCGCGGUAAUACGUAGGAGGCAAGCGUUAUCCGGAAUGACUGGGCGUAAAGGGUGCGUAGGUGGUUUGGCAAGUUGGUAGCGUAAUCCCGGGGCUCAACCUCGGUGCUACUACCAAAACUGUUGAACUUGAGUGCAGGAGGGGUGAAUGGAAUUCCCAGUGUAGCGGUGGAAUGCGUAGAUAUUGGGAGGAACACCAGUGGCGAAGGCGGAUUGCUAGACUGUAACUGACACUGAGGCACGAAAGCGUGGGGAGCAAACAGGAUUAGAUACCCGGGUAGUC